UACGGGGGGGGCAAGCGUUGUUCGGAAUUACUGGGCGUAAAGGGCUCGUAGGCGGCCAACUAAGUCGGACGUGAAAUCCCCAGGCUCAACCUGGGAACUGCGUCCGAUACUGGAUGGCUUGAAUCCGGGAGAGGGAUGCAGAAUUCCAGGUGUAGCGGUGAAAUGCGUAGAUAUCAGGAGGAACACCCGUGGCGAAGGCGGCUCUCUGGAUCGGCCCUGACGCUGAGGCGCGAAAGCGUGGGGAGCGAACGGG
rnacentral:rRNA from 1 species